rnacentral:rRNA from 1 species
CCUACGGGUGGCAGCAGUGAGGAAUAUUGGUCAAUGGACGAGAGUCUGAACCAGCCAAGUAGCGUGAAGGAUGACUGCCCUAUGGGUUGUAAACUUCUUUUAUAUGGGAAUAAAAUGUUCCACGUGUGGGAUUUUGUAUGUACCCUAUGAAUAAAGAUCGGCUAACUCCGUGCCAGCAGCCGCGGUAAUACGGAGGAUCCGAGCGUUAUCCGGAUUUAUUGGGGUUAAAGGGAGCGUAGGUGGAUUGUUAAGUCAGUUGGGAAAGUUUGCGGCUCAACCGUCAAAUUGCAGUUGAAACUGGCAGUCUUGAGUACAGGAGAGGUGGGCGGAAUUCGUGGUGUAGCGGUGAAAUGCUUAGAUAUCACGAAGAACCCCGAUUGCGAAGGCAGCGCACUGGACUGCAACUGACACUGAGGCUCGAAAGUGUGGGUAUCAAACAGGAUUAGAUACCCCUGUAGUC